rnacentral:rRNA from 1 species
UACAGAGGGUGCUAGCGUUGUUCGGAAUCAUUGGGCGUAAAGGGCGUGUAGGCGGUUUGUUAAGUCAUGUGUGAAAUCCCUCGGCUCAACCGGGGAACGACGCAUGAAACUGGCAAGCUAGAGUACCAAAGAGGGGGGUGGAAUUCCCGGUGUAGCGGUGAAAUGCGUAGAUAUCUGGAGGAACACCGGUGGCGAAGGCGGCGUUCUGGACUGCAACUGACACUGAGAAACGAAAGCCAGGGUAGCAAACGGG